AAAGUUGAUCUUCAGCAAAUCGGGUCCGGGAAAACGGACGGCGGAAGAUCGGUCGAUAGGAGACGAUGAAGGUGUUGAGUUCUUUGAGAAUGUAAUAAUAAAUGCAUCAACAGUUUCUAGUCAUGUUGCAUUUGAGCUCAUGGAACCUACAAAUUCUCUAAUGGAGAAGCUAUCGGUUGACUUUGUAAAAGUCUCUCCGUAUAGACCAUCGGGUUUUUACGUUUUCUGCACUAGCCAUUCUCAACAGUUUCGGGUGGAAAACCCGAACGCUGUUCUACAGUUACUGUUUUAUUUCUUACAGUUAACCGACGAAAGUCAAAAUCUGGUUGAUUUUUCGUCGAAAAGUUUCAAUGAAAGUUUUAGUUAUGAAGAACAAGUGAAGAACGUGUUACAGCUGGAAAACUUGAUCGACCUGAAAGACCUCAACGACCACUUGUUGACUCCUAAUGGUACUGCAGAUGAUGCGGUUCGUACAAGUAACGAAGCUCUAUUUCAACUGGUGAGUGCCUACGAUUACAUCAACAUCGUCUUCAUUCUUUUAUAAUAGACUUGAUGAUAAAUUAAAAUUGUUUUUUUUUGUGUGUGUGUGUGUUGUUACAGAGUGCACGUGCAAGAUGCUGUUUAAUAGCUGCUGAAGAGGCGGAGAAUAGGAAGAAAGAAAACGAGAAGAUGAUCGAUAAGUCGAUGAAAAAAUACGCAACACCGGAAGAGAAGAAUAAGAAAAGAAAUCGAACUGAGCUUAAGUUCAUCGAGGAUAUUCUGGAUGAACUCCGUGAGUACAAAAAAAAUCACACUGAUUACUACGAAGCCUUCAAGCUUCAAAAGGAGCACGACGUGGACUUCUUGGUUAACGUAGACAGGCUGAAGCUGGCUAAAAUAUUUGACGAAAUUGUGGAGAUGGUGAUGCGCGAUGAUCUUCCUGAUGAAUUUGAAGGUCGGGAGGAGUGGGUGAAGGUAGGGACGGAGUUCAGGCGACUGUUUGAGCCUUUAGAUAUUGGGAAUUAUUAUCGCCACUCAAAAGGAGAUGAUAACAAUAAAGUUUAUUUGGAUGUUAGACCAAAAAGGUACAAGUUUACACAGCGCUGGUAUGAACAUGCAAAUGGGAUGGGGUUUGAGUUGGUUUCAGAGACUAAUUUUGUUGCGCUACUUGAAGAAAUUAAGAAGGAGGUGGAGGAGACUAAGAAGAAGCCGAUUGAUAUGGUUAAAGAGGAAUUCCAGAAUCUGGAGAAACAAGUUCAAAACUGGAUUUCUGACCACAAAAUACGAAAAGAUGAUGAUGAUGUAUUUUGGGGAGAAUCUUUUUUCUCUGUGUUGCGGGGAAAACUCGGAUAAACACCACACUUACACCCACACCCAUGAAAAAGGAAGAAAAUGUACAUAAUCUUAACCUUUCCAUAUGAUUACUUAAUAAGGGUAACUGGGUGAGUGCAAUAUGUGAGUGAGUAUCAAUGUCUUUGAUAUUUUAUGAAUAGUAUCCUUACUAUAAUUGAUUUACGCUUUUUAAGUUAUACUUUUACAUGAGUUUGAGCUUUUUUUUAAAGAUUUUUUUUAUGAUAAUAAUAUUUGAUACCUUUUGUGAUGGAAUCUUUAAAAGGAUGUAGCAUUUCUUUGGAACUGAUAUUUAAAUACCAUUACGAUAUUUUUGGUAGAUAACUACAUUAUUGUUUUAUAUUUAUUAAUUGUUUACAAGUUUGAUUUACCUCUUUGUUUAUUAAAAUACUAGGUAGGUGGGACUUGCUUUAUUUUGACUUCUUUAUUUCAUAAGACUAGCCAACCAGCAUACCUAGGAGUUGAGGAUAAAGGGUUUUUGAUCUCACAGGAUAUAUAUACAAAAAAUAUAUUUAAUACUAUAACUACAAACAAAAAAUUCUACAUAAUAUUUGAUGCAACUAUGGACCGGAAAUAUUAAUGGUUUUAAAAUUUUCAUAAAUUUUGGUUUGAAUAUUAGCCUUUUUAUAAUGUAAUCCGGUACUAUUUUUAUUUAAAGGGAGUAUUAAUGGUUUUAAGAUUUUAAAAAUAUUAUAAAGACAUUGUAGAUUAUGCUUGUAUAUUUGCAAAAUAAUCAAUAUGUGUUUGACAUUUUGACUAUUGGAACCUUGGGCAUUUUAGUGCACUUUUUGAAGAGAAGAGUGGAGUAUCAAAGCAAGGAUCGAGAAGACACUGUUGGAUCUGGUGUUAUUUCAUCUAGAGCUUCUGUUGAAGGUACAAAGUCUCUACCUUGCUCAUUAGUUUGAUUAGAUCUCAUUUUAUGGAGUUUUAGGGCUUAUUCUAUCUUUCCUUGAGGCUUUGAGUGUGUUGAACUUAUCAAGUGUUUGAGACUUUAGAUCUGGACCUUGUGAGGUCCCUAGAGUCCAAAGGUCCCAGCUUUAUCCAGCUAAUAGAUGAGCUUUCAUGAUUAAGACCCUAAAUGGAAGUUGUUUUGGCAUUUCAAGCCCUAAGUGUCAUGCAUGGAUGUAAAGCUUGCAGCUUUACAUGGUAUAUCAGCCUUGGGAGGCUAGAUCUAGAGUUUAGGGUUAUGAAUCUGCCUUAAAACGUAUGAAUGAGAAAAGAGACUUAAGGGACUCACCAAGUUGAUGAGCCAACUCGACGAGUCGGCUAGGGUUUUCCUCGAUUAGUCUGGACAUGAGUAACUCGGCAAGUUGAUGAGACAACUCAACAAGUUAAGUUGGGUUUUCGCGACUUUUCUGAAGGAACGAGGGGACUCGACGAGUCGGGUCAACAUGGACUGUUGACUCGAGUGUUGACUUCAAUUGAAUUUAGGGUUUGGUCAAGACAGGGAGUAUGGAGACCAUGGAGCGGUAAAAUGGUCUUUUACCCAUUCCAAGAGUUAGAGAGAGAGAGAGAGAGAGAGAGAGAGAGAGAGAGAGAGAAUAGCCUUUGGUUUAUUUAGAGUUGUGAAUGGAGUGUUAAUUAGAAAUAGUUAUCACAUGUGUUAGGCGGAGGCUAGAUCGGUGAUUCGUGUAUGAGGUUUAUUUGCUUGAUUACGAGGUCAGUCUUCUCAAUAUAGUUACCUAGAGUGGUAACCUUUGUGUGACCGGAGGGUCUUAUGUGCUUAUAUUGAGCAUUGUGAUAUAUUGCAUUAUGUCUUUGCUAUUUAUAUUGUGUAUUAUUCUGAGAUUACUAAGUUAGGACCGGAGGGUCCACCCUAGUUGUGGGACCGGAGGGUUCCAUUGAAACACAUUGACCGGAGGGUCUUAUUUGAGUAUAUCCAUGAGAUGUGUGUGGUAUUUUGGGGAACUCACUAAGCUUCGUGCUUACCGUGUUAUGUGUUUCAGGUACUUCUCAGGAUCACGGGAAGGCGUCGACUUGAUUGUACACACGAGGCGGAGUCGUGUUUUAAGGAUCCUAGAUAGUGUUUAAACAAUUAUUGAACAUGUGUUUUGAUACAUUGUUAUUUUGGGGUUUGUGAACUAUGUUUAUGAGAAUUAUAUGAUUUUUAAAAUGUAAAAUUUGUUUGAAAAUUUAUGGUGUUACAAGUAGGUAUCAGAGCCUUGGUUUGAGGGAUUCGGAUAUACCUUUGGGUGUGUCUGGACUCAAACUAAGGAUUUGAGAAAAAUUUUCAAAAGAAAUGAUUUAUCUAAAAACGAGUAAGAUCUUUAAGAGAAAAACGAGUUGGAGCAGUGUGUACAAUUAGCCAGAGCCCGAAUGGUGAUUUCCUAAAAUACCCUUACUUAUUUGUGUUAUGAGAUAUUUAUAAGAUGUUAGGGAUGAAUGCUAGAGGAUAGGCUAAGUAUUUCAUAUUUGGGCUAGAGUUGCCUGAUUUGUGAUGCCUUAGCCUAGAAGUUGUUGCUAUCUGUUGUUUACCUUGAGUAUGUGCUGAGUAGGAGUAUCUAGCAAGAAUCACUUAGAAAGAGUUCUGAGUCGAGGGAUAAUCUAGGAGAGGUACAUAUAUGAGCAUAUGAGGGGUCUACUGAGAGAGUAGUCUGUUAUUCGUGAAAGAUAGAGUACGUGUGAAUUGGGAUCCUAGGAGGAGGACUUGGGGUGAUUACAGGUUGGUGUGGAAGGUAGUAUUGGGCCUGUACUACUGAAAACACCGAAUCUAUAAGUAACCCAAGUAAGAAUCCUUUGGGUACUAAGGCGCAUGUAGGAGCGGGAAAUCGAGUGUGAGUAUGCUCGAGCGAGUCUCUGAUGAUUUUUGUGUUGUGUUUCAGAGACAUCGUGGUAGGUAUACACCACAACCCCGGGGGCGGUAGUGCCAGUGACGAGGAGAUCUGUCGGAUCAUUCAUGAGGAGGUGGACGCAGCUAUUCGAGAGGCGAUACCGGAGAUGUUUGGGUCUAUUAGGACCACACUGAUUGAGACAUUUGAUGAGCAUUAUGCUGUUGUUACUGAGGUUGUUGCUGCUGCAGCCACCGUAGUUGUAGCCGCUGCUAGGUCACAGGGAGGUGACUCGUUGUUGUUCCGGGAGUUCAGCAACACGAAGCCCCCAGAGUUUGAUGGGACACAGGAUCCGAUUACUGCUAUGAGAUAGAUCUCCGACAUGGAGGGGUGUUUUUACGCGUGUUCAUUCCCCCGAGCACUUGAGAGUUCAGUUUGCACUGAACCAGCUUCGCUUGGGAGUGAAGGACUGGUGGAAGUUUGUGACAGCCAGUUUUACUCCUACAGAUCAUGUUGCAGUGACAUGGGAGAUUUACACAGUUGUUCUGAGAUGAGUAUGUUCCCCAGGUGGAGAAGGAACUGUUGGCCCUUGAGUUUCUGUCUCUUAAGCAGAAGACAGAAACUAUGACUGAGAUUUCGAGUAUGUUCCAUGAGGGGGCGCUGUUUUGCCUUGAGCACGUGUUUACUAAGCAUGCACAUGUGAGUCGUUAUCUGAGUAUACUAAGGAGGGAUAUACGGGAGUUCGUGGUGAACUCGUCUUACCGGACAUUGGCCGAGUCGCAGACCAAUCCCCGACAGAGGGAGAUUGAUCUAGAGUUACAGGCCAGGGGGAGGGGGAGUCCCAUGGGAGGGACCUGAGACCGAUACAAUCGCAAUCGAUGACAAAGCGGGCAAAGCCCGCUGAUACGAGAUUUGGGGGCCAGAAGGGACACACUUGUGGCAAGUGCGACAAGAGUCACGAGGGAUCUUGCCGGGCAGGGAUUUGCUACAAAUAUGGCAAAGAGGGGCACAUGGCGAAGGAUUUCCCCAAGGGGUUUGACGUUUACUUUCACUACAACCAGACCGGUCAUCAGAAGUCCGAGUGCCCUCAGCUCAUCCAGGGAUUAGCCUAAGGUUCCACUCCUGCUGCUUUACAUGCUAUUGAUAGUCGACCGGUGAAGGCCGAGGCUUUGAGGGCUCGUGGGAGAGCUUUUCAGCUGACAACAGAGGAGGUCCGCGUAGCACCUGAUGUCGUGGCUAGUACUUUUCUUUUGAGUUCUGUACCUGCCUUGGUGUUAUUUGACUCGGGUGCGAGUUGAUCCUUCGUGUCUUUAGCUUUUAUUCAUCACAUCAAAGUCCGACGUGAGGCGUUGAGUCGACCUCUGAGGGUUUCUAUAGCUGAAGAGCAUGCUUUCGCUACUGAUGUGUAUUCCGAGGAUGUGUGUUAGAGAUUUUGGUGCUGAGUUCCCAAUAGACCUGGUACCGAUCGCGUUGGGUGAUGUAUGUGUCAUAGUGGGCAUGGAUUGAUUAAGUCGGUUUGGAGCUAUGAUCGACUGUGAGCGUCAGAUGGUGACCAUACAAGAACCUAGUGGGGGAGUGCUCAAGGUGUAUGACGAGGGUACCAGAUCUGGAUCAGCCUUCUGCUCUGCUGCUAGGGCGAGACAGAGUCUACAGCAGGGUUGUAUGGGCCUUUUGGUGUACAUGAUGUGACAGCCGUCAAUUUUUGGUCAAUCUAAAGUCAAAUAAAGUCAACAAGUCAACCCGAUCAACUCAUCUAACCCUUGUGUAUUAGGGUUUACUUUAUGUUUUCUACUAUACAACUCGCUAUUUUAAUAAGAAGUUAUCACUUGGAAAGUUCGUAUGUUCAGAAUUCCUAAACCCUAAUCAAGGUAUGUAAUGAAACUACUUGGUAAAACAUUAUUUCGUACCCCUCGAGGGCGUAUAACAUUCAUAAGGAGGCUUAACGGGGUUUACAAAACUUGCAUUUUGAAGUUAAGCACUCGCAAAGGUCACAAACAAAGUCUCUCUCAAUCUCUCUCGCCCUAUCUCUCUUUAUCUCAAAUCUCUCCCAAAUCUCUCUCAUAACCUCCCUCAACUUUUUAUAAUCAUUUGGGGCAUCCCGACCCUUAGCGGAGCCAAAAACCGCGCAAAACAGGAAGUUUAUUGGUAAAACAGCUCUAUAGAAGCGAAACCUCUUAGAGGCGAAACCCUAAGAAGCCUCCUGGACCGAAACCCCGCUAAGACCGAAGCUCCUAGUAAGAACCGAACCUACUUGGACUGAACUGCUGAAGAACCGAAACCCUGGUGAGCCGCAACAGAUCCAAGACCGAACCCGAAACCUCCGCCUUCGCCUUCGCUUCCCUUCCCAUCUCGCAUGCGAAAUUUCUUGAUCAGCCACUUUCGGUUCUCACCAAUAAACCGAACUAACCUUCGGUUCUGAGCUGUUUGGACCGAACCCUCGGUCCUAAACUCGGAUUUUCGCAUCUUUUCUCGGUUUUCGAUCCUUUUAACGUUUUAAGCUUGUUUUUCAUGAUUUUAACGUUGGAUUUUCACCCAAACUCAUAUUUUGGCAUAUAAGACCCUAAAUAUUCAUAAUUUAAUCACAUUUUGGGGGAAAUCUUUGUCCAAGAAUAAAAUCUAAUGGGUGAUAUAUUGAGGUGGAGUGUUGACUUUUCCAUAAAGCAAAGACACAAGCUACCUCCCAUACCCACUCCAUGACAUCCUUAUGUCACUAUUCACACCAGCCUUAUCUACUCAUUGUACCCUUAUUCUUUUUCAACAAGCUACCUUCACUCUCACCCACUCAAGGAGUCAAUACAUCUCACAUCUCCUAAUUCUCUUUCACUUACACAUUAAGCUAAACACUUUUCUCUCUCCACCUCUCUCCAAGAUUUCGAGAUUCUCCGGGAGUUUUGAGCUUUUCACCCUCUUUUGGUAAGUAAAUUUCAUCCUUCACCUUAUUAUCCCACACUUCUUCACUCUAGUCAUGGAUUUCUCACACAAAUAUAGUCAUAUUAAUUUGCUAUUAGAUCUUCAAAUCUACAAGCAUCUCCCAAGUGUUAUUGACAUGGAAACCUCUUUUCUUCCACAUUCAUCUUAGGGAAUCACUCAAGGUGAGUUCUACCCCUACAUUUUCAUGUUUUCUUCAAGUUUUAGGGGAGGAAUACAAGUUAAAUCACCACAAUAUAACUUAAACCCAAUCAUCAGCUUUCAACAGGAAAGUCGAGUCUCAUUCACAGACGGUUUUUACCUUCUUAAAUUUUUUAUCUUUCAAAACUGUUUAAUCUGCAAGUAGUUCGGGUUAAUACCUUUAAAAUGACUACUUGGACAUCUCCAUACGAUUUGUCUACAAUUUAUGGCGAUUUUUACAAAACAACCUAUCAUUUCAUAAACCACUUCAGACCAGUUUGUGAAGUUGGACAUUUUUACACAAGUUAAAGGUCACCAAAAAUCAUGAUAAAAUUAUGAAUAAAAUAGACACAUUUUCUAAACCCUCAGAGUUUACGGAUCUAAAUUUCGACCUCUGAUGAUUUUUCUAUAAAUUUUCCAAUAGCAUUAACAGGAAAGUUAGAAACUAUAAAAUAGUUAACAACCCUAUUUACACCUUGUAACUUGCUGAGCAAGGUGUGUAGUAUUAUUUGAAUACAUGUUGCUGAUAGUACAUAUUAUUUACCAUAGUUUAAAUGUAUGAAUGCAAAGGAUUACUACCACUACAAAUAAUUAUAAUAAAUUAUAAUAAGUAUAGUUAAGUCUAUUAUACACCACAAACAAAUAUGCUAAACUAUAAUAGGUAUAGUUAGGUUGCAUAUACAAUACAAACAUUAUGAUAAACUAUAGUAGGUAUAGUUUAUGUUUCAUUUACAUUUCAAACUCAUUACAAAAAGGUUUUCAUAUAAACGGGGUAUGAAUACAAAGUACCGAGUUUUCAUACAAAAGUGGUACAAUACAAAGUACCGGGUUUCAUACAAAAGGGGUACAUUACAAAGUACCAGGUUUAUACAAAAGGGGUACAUUACAAAGUAUCGGGUUUCAUAAAAAAGGGGUACAUUACAAAUUACCGGGUUUUCGUAUAAACGGGGUAUGAAUACAAAGUAUUGGGUUUAUACAAAAGGGGUACAUUACAAAGUAGCGGGUUUUCAUAUAAAAGGUGUACGAAUACAAAGUACCGGGUUUAUACAAAAGGGGUACAUUACAAAGUACCUGGUUUUCAUACAAAAGGGGUACAUUACAAAGUACCGGGUUUUCAUAUAAACAGGGUACGAAUACAAAGUAUUGGGUUUAUACAAAAGGGGUACAUUACAAAGUACCUGGUUUUCAUACAAAAGGGGUACAUUACAAAGUACCGGGUUUUCAUAUAAACAGGGUACGAAUACAAAGUAUUGGGUUUAUACAAAAGGGGUACAUUACAAAGUACCUGGUUUUCAUACAAAAGGGGUACAUUACAAAGUACCGGGUUUUCAUAUAAACGGGGUACGAAUACAAAGUACCGGGUUUACACAAAAUGGCUUUUAUGAUAUUAAAACUACGUUUCAUUUAGAAUUGUUAGUUUUCAGCUAUAAUUGCUAAGUGUACAUGUUAGAGUUAUAUAUGGAUUUAGUCACAAUCGACUUAGAAUUAGUGGGCCCGCCUUACUUCCUGUUCCUUGUUUGGUUGUGGACCUAGGGUAGACCCAUUAUAUUCAAUGGUUUAUCUAACUUAAAUUUUAUAUAACUUAUAUACACUGGGUGGUUAUAGAAGGAAUCUACGAGUCUUUCUAGGGUACAUUAUUGCAUAACAUAGGAGCUUUCAUUUCACAUUUUAUAAAGAAAAUAUUGGAUUUUCUUGAACCAUACUCUAUCAAUUUUACAAGGAAAACGACUUCUUUCUCAAAUAAAACUCUUAUGAAAUCACCAACUUAAUUGUUGACACUUUUCAAAACUACUUGUGUUCUCAGGGAAUCAAUGAAACGGGAAAUCACAAGCUUUUGAGGAUGGAACAUUAAAUCGUCAAACAUUACACUUUAUCAUCAUAGUGUAAUUGAUAUUGAAACAUGUAAACUCAUACUACGGUGUAACUUUUUCAAUUAUAUUUAUGAUGGUUUAUUUACUUUGAGCACUAUUAUACUCGUUGUGAUACUAUACAUGAAGUCCUCCACCCCCGGGCAUUUCCGCCAUCCUUGGUUUGGGGGUGUGACAGAUUGGUAUCAGAGCAUUGUUUGUAGUGAACUAAGUAUAUCGAACCACAUAAGAUAUACAAAUAUAAAUACAAUGGGACAAAAACGCUCUGACCAAGAGUUAUACUUUUUGAAAUAUACUAGAACAGAACAGAAGUGGUGAUUGUUGAACGACACAAGUAGGCUUGAGGAUGUAUAGUCAGGUUUGGAAAUGACAUAGCCUGAUCAACUAUGUCUAUCCUAGAAGUGAUUAGUAUAUGCUCGAGAAUGGUUGUGGUGUUGCAACAAGUCUAAAAACUUACCAACUCUAUCUACAAAGAAACAUUGAGAACAUAAGACAAACAUUAACAUAUUAUACGAGUAUUUUGUGAUACUAUAACCAACUUAUGUGAAAAAUAAAGACCCCUAUUAGUAGCUAUAUAAUGACCGAGUGCAUACUCUAAGGUUAUAUAUAAUUGAAGAUAUUAUAGACUCAUACUCUAUGAAUAUUUCUCUACUUUCUGUUCCUUGUUUGGUUGUGGACUUAGAGUAGAGUCAUUUAUUCGAAGGUCUAUUCUAUCUCAAAUUAAGUCUAACUGGUAUGCACUAUGUGAUUAUAGAAGUGACUAAUGAGGUUCACCCCUAUAAGUAAUUAUAGGAUUAGACGUCUAUUAAUUAUCUCUUCUACCCUUAUUCUCGCACAAACAACAUGGCAGGAGCUCAACUACUAGGAGACCCUAUUCUUCCUAACCAGGAAAAUGGUGGUUGGAUCAGAGAGAAUUUAGAGGAUCCUGAAGAAAUAAUAGAGGAAGACCCCGACGAGACUUCUAUGGUCCGACACCUCGAUAAGCUGUAGAUUUACAGAGAUGGAGUUAUGAACAAGGUCAACACCCUCCUUAUGGCAUGGAUGAGGCUUCUACAACCUCAACAUAGGAGGAUUAGUAGACAGGGCUCUCCUUGUCAUGGUACACUGCAUCACUCACUAGAGGGUACAAACACGAGUAUCGGUCAGCUGAAUCAUGGAGGUUGGCGCUACCACCAAGAUCACCGCAAUUCACCUUCGUCACCUAGAUAGAGGCCAUGAACAGAUCAAAAACCACAAUCAAAGCCUUCAGAGGUAAGUGACUAUAACUCGAGCCGAUAUUAGAGAGUAUCGGGAAUGUCAAACAGCGUUAGAGAAAAUGCAUGAUAAAAGCAGAACAUCAAAUGACAAAAGCCAAGGCAGAGGUUAGGGCAAUGCAAACAUUCAUGUCUUCAUUCUAUGGCCCACAAAACAUCACCUGUCGCGAGUAGUGUGUACACUACUAACAUACCGAUACCGACUCAAACUAUUGGUGUGCAUUUAAACACUGCCCCGUCAUAUACAUAAACUCGACCCUUCAAAUUUAGGGACUACACUAUUCAAAGGGGUCGUUUCGCUUCUAAAUUUUUUCCUUACAUUAACAAAAUAUAGACCUAAUAUAAGGUCAGACUGUCCUGAACUCUAUGUACUAGAUUAUAUUAGUGAAAUUGGCAUGUAUUUGAUUUCUUUGAGAGUUUACCACAUAUUUCAUAACCUGGUAUUACAAACAAUUUGCUUAUAGUAACUCUAAGAUUACUUAAUAUAUACCUCAAGGUUAUGUGAAAUUAAGAGACGAUCGACUUAGAAAUGGUGAGUCUGCCUUGGGUCCUGUUCCUUAUUUGGUUGUGGACUUAGGGCAGACUCGUUAAGUUCUAAAACCUAUUAAACCUUAAUUACACACAAAUGGUAUACAUCGGGUGAUCUUAGGAGUGGAUCAGGCAUGAAACAAAUCACAAGAUUACAUUCGAGUCACUACUACUAAAUUCAUAAGUUUAUCUAUAUGGACUUUCAUUAUGGAUUGCUUACAAAAUACAUUUAAGUUGAGACUGCUAUUGGAGACUGACCGUCUAUUCGUCUUUACAAACUUAUGACAGAACUAUACCACCGAGGAAAAAUUUCAGACCUUCCGGCAGCACAGCACCACCACCUUCGCCACCACCUCCGCAGUUUGAUCCCACAAUGUUCCAAGCUGCUGUAACAGCAGUCGUGGCUUCCGCAAUGUCACAAAUUGGUACGAAUGGUACUGGUGGUGCUGGAUCUGGUGCCACAAACUCCAACCUUGAGGACAGUACGAGGUGUACGAAGGAAUGUUCAUACAAGGAUUUUACUGGUGGCAAACCCGAUUCUUUCAAUGGAAGCGGGGGCGUCAUCACACUUAUGCAAUGGUUCGAAAAGAUUGAAUAGGUCUUCGAAAUUUGUGCAUGCCCCAAAGCAAGCAAGGUUAAAUUUGCAGCUUGCACUUUCUCUGGUCGGGCCCUUACUUGGUGGAAUGGCCAUGUUAAGUCACUAACGCUUACAAUGGCUAACUCGAUAAGUUGGGAGGACUUAAAGGCGUUGAUGCUGAAAGAGUAUUGCCCAAGGGGCGAAAUGCAAAAUCUAUAUCAAGAACUAUGGAAUCUCAAGAUGGCAGGCUCUGACCUUUGCAACCUAUACCACUCGAUUCUAUGAUAUAGCACUCCUUUGUCCCCCUAUGGUCACCCCGGAAGACAAAAAGGUGGAAUGAUACAUCUGAGGAUUGUCUCACCAAAUUCAAGAUAGCGUGUUGGCAUCAAGACCAACUACCUUUGAUAGUGCCAAGGCGUUGGCACAACAACUCAUAGAUCAUAGUGUCAGUCAUGACACGAUGACAAUCACCCCUGAACAAACAAGGAGGGUGGGGACAAGAAAAGGAAGUUCUGGAACAAUAAGAAGAACCAACCGACCUAGGACUCCACUAAGAAGCAACAUAUCGUUGAUGUUCAUGCUACCACAACCCAUGCCACUCCAGCAACCAUAAAUCGAUAUGCUGGAACCCUUCCGAAAUGCAACAAGUGUAACUUCCAUCAUACUAGGGUUUGCUGGGAGAUGCAUUGCAAAAAUUGCAACAGGAAAGGGCACACUGUCCAUUUCUGUAGGGCACCAGCACAACCCAUCACCCAGGUCCCUGGUACUAGAGUAAGCCCAACCUGUUACGAUUGCGGCGAAACGGGGCACUUUAAAAGAGACUACCCAAGAGAAAGGGAUGCUAGUGAUGGUGGAAGGGUGCUUAUGAUCACUGCAGGAGAGACUUCCCCGGAACCGCCCGUAAAUAUCGGUACGUGUUUCUAACAACAACGUUUAGAUUUUAAAUUUUUACUAAAACUAGCAUCGAUUAAAGUAUAUCAACCAUAAAUCUUGAGAACACGACAAGCCCUAGUCGUAAACUGCCCCUCUCCCCCGAGAAGUCAUAUCGUUUAUAUAAAAACUCAGGAUUCUUACUGGUGAAUCUAUGAUGGCUAGUGUAAACAUCGUAGUCAUAUAUCACUAAGAUUCUAUAGACUUAGGAUGUGUAAUUCCACCUUAUUUCUUGUUCCUUGUUUGUUUUUGGGCUUAAGGCAGAGUCACUCAUUCGACUGCCCUUGCAAUCUUAAUGAUAUACGAAAAUAGUUUACACCCAACAAUUAUAAAAGAACUGGUGGGAGUCUUACUACGAAAUUUCAUCACUUUUUGUCAAAGUGCUCGUACUGCUAGUACUCACUAAUUACAUUAUAAAAUAUUCGUAGUAGUAAUACCAAGGAUAAAGCGGAGAGCAUAACAAUAUAUACAUAGAAUACACCAUCAUUCCAAAACAAUCACUCGUGGUUUUAAAUUGAAUUAACACCGGUUACAAUAAGAUGUCCAAAUGCCGUCAAUUAUCAUAAGAUGGCUUGGUCUAUCAUAUCAAUGUCAUGUAUUACGGAAAAUACCCCCAUCUUUUCCCCAAAUUCUUGAAGUCCCAGUUGAAACACUAAUUUUGGGACGAAACUCCUUCUAACGGGGGAUGAUGUGACAACCGUCAAUUUUUGGUCAAUCCAAAGUGAAAUAAAGUCAACAAGUCAAACCGGUCAACUCAUCUAACCCUUGUGUAUUGGGGUUUACUUUAUGUCUUCUACUGUACAACUCACUAUUUUAAUAAGAAGUUAUCACUUGGAAAGUUCGUAUGCUUACAAUUCCUAAACCCUAAUCAGGGUAAGUGAUGAAACUACUUGGUAAAACAUUAUUCUGUACCCCUCGGGGCCGUAUAACAUUCAUAACGAGGCUUAACGGGUUUUACAAAACUUGCAUUUCAAAGCUAAGCACUCGUAAAGGUCAUAAACAAAGUAUCUCUCAAUCUCUCUCGGUCAAUCUCUCUUUAUCUCAAAUCUCUCUCAUAACCUACCUCAACUUUUUAUAAUCAUUUGGGGCAUCCCAACCCUUAGCGGUGUAACAUCCUAAAUUUCGGGUAUGUUAGUUUGUAUUUCAAAUUUUGAGGAUUUAGGAGGGACUCGACGAGUCGAGAGUCUGACUCGCCGAGUCACGUUGAGUUGAUUACGGGUAUUUAAUGAGAGGACUCGACGAGUCCAAGUAUGGACUCGCCGAGUAGGUGCUAGGCAGAGAAAACCCUAAGUUUCGGGGUUGGAGCCUAUUUAAAGGAACUUAUGACCUUGGAUGCGCCUCAUAUCUCCUGUGAGAAACCCUAAACCUCCAUUGGAUCCCAGGGAGAGUUCUUAUGAUGAAAUCAUGUAUUUUGGUGUGAUUUUGCAAAGGAAGAGAAGGGAUUCAGCUAAAAGUACCAAAGGAGGACGUCAUUCUGAGACGUUCAAGUAAGGAUCUCCAUUAUGAGUUAGUAAUUCGACCCUUUCUUCUGUUUUGUGAAGAAUCCUUGAAUCUAGGGUUUUCUUUACCCUUUCUUGGAUAGUAUAUGAUGCACAUGAGGUCCCAAUGUGGAAUAAGUAUUAGAUCUGGACCCUAAGAGGUCCAGAGAGUCCCAAUCUUCUAGCUUUAUGCAGUUCCAUUGGAGUUAUGAAUCUAGGAUACCGUCUUUAGAGCUAUUUCACCAUAUAGAGCUAUAUGUGUGUUGCAUGUGUAUAAAGUCUUGAGUUUACGUGACUAUUGAGUGUUAGAAGGUCAAAUCUAUAUGUUGGGGAAACAAAUCUAACCUUGGAAGGUCAUUUGAGUGUGGCCAUGGAGGAAACUCGCCGAGUCCAUAAGAGGACUCAACGAGUCGAGUCGGUUUGCCCCACGAUUCGUGACCAGUGGUGACCCGUCGAGUGAAAGGUUAACUCGAUGAGUUGGGUGAUAACUUAGGAGGAUUCAGAGGACAAGCAUGGACUUGCCGAGUCACCUGAGUGCACUCGACGAGUCUGGUCAAAGUUUGACCGUUGACUUCAGUUGACCUUAGGGUUUUGGUCAUACUGAUUCAAGAGAGGUCAGGGAGGGGUAGAAUGGUCUUCUACCUAUUCUAUAGAUAUGAGGUCAAGAGAAAGUAUUAAUUAGAGAUGUUUUCCUUAUGUGUUAGGCGGAGGCUCGAUCGAGGUUAUCAAGCCAGAAGGUUUACUAGACAUCAUGAGAGGUGAGUCUUCUCACUAUACUUUACCUAGAGUGGUAACUAUGUGUGACCGAAAGGUCUUAUAUGUUAUGCGGAGUAUGUGAUAGGUAUUGCUAUGUGAUAUGUAUGUGUUAUGCUAUGUUAUGAGUACCAUGAUAUGGACUGGAAGGUCAACAGAGUAUGGACCGGAAGGUCAAGAUGAUGAGGAUCGGAAGGUCAUACGGGUAGGGCCGGAAGGUCUACCAGAGUUGGGACGGAAGUCCCCUAAGACACAUGGAUCGGAAGGUCCCAUAGAGUUAUGGNNNNNNNNNNNNNNNNNNNNNNNNGGAAGAUCCCAUAGGGUUAUGGCCUUGAGUUGUGUAUGUGUUGUAUGUGGUAUUUUGGGGAACUCACUAAGCAUUUAUGCUUAUAGUGUUAUGUGUUAUGUGUUUCACAUACUAGCGAUGAUCACGGGAAGGCGCCGACAUGAUCUGUACACACUGGAAAAAGAGUUAUUUUAUGAUAUUGGGAUAUGUUUUAUCAUGAUGGCAUUUGUUAAAUUUGAGAUUUUAUAAUAUUGAAUAAGAUUUAUGUUAUUUGAAAAAUGAAAAAUUGUUUUGAAAAUUCACGUUGUUACAAGUUGGUAUCAAAGCCUUGGUUUGAGGGAUUCGGAUGCACCUUUGGGCGUAUCUGAACUCAAACUGAGGAUUUGAUAAAGUUUUCAUACAAGAAAUAAUUUUUCUAAAAAGUAAAAGAAUUUGAGAAAGCAGAAAGAAGUAGUGUGUACGAUUAGUCAGCGCCCGAACAGUGAUUUCCCAAAAUAUCCUUACGUUAUGUGUUAUGAGAUACGAAAAGAUAUGCUAUGUAGGCAGGGGACAGAGUUCGUGACUGUGAUUACACAGAUGUUUCACGAGAAUGUGCAGUUUUACCCUGAGAAUGUGUCUUCUGAACAGGCACGCAUGAGUCGAUAUCUGAGCAUUCUGAGGAGAGAUAUUCGGGAGUUCGUGGCGAACUCGAUGUACCGGACAUUUGUCGAGCUCCAGGAAAAUGCUCGGAAGAAGGGAGAUUGAGCUGGGGACUCAGGCCAUGGAGGAGGCUGAACCUCAGGAGAGGUGAUGUCAUGGUUCGAUUACCAUGAUUGGUAGCAGACCGAGAGGUAAUGUCAUGGUUCGAUUACCAUGAUUGGUAGCAGACCGAGAGGUGAUGUCAUGGUUCGAGUACCAUGAUUGGUAGCAGACCGAGUGGUGAUGUCAUGGUUUGAGUACCAUGAUUGGUAGCAGACCAAGAGGUGAUGUCAUGGUUCGAGUACCAUGGUGGGUGGCAGAUCGAGAGGUGGUUUCAUGGUUCGGGUAUCAUGAUUCGUAGCAGAUAAUGCUUGUACCUUUUUCCGGAUUAUUCCGUCAUGAUGGAUUAGGUGGAGAUCAGAUGUGACAGGGUAUUAGGCCUAAGGGACAUGUUGAAUGAGUUUCAAAAGAAGCAUUCCUGAGAGGGAGGUUGAGAUAAAUUCAUGGAUUUUUAGUGAGAUGACAGAUGCAGUCGCAAGACUCAAGGAUGAAUAGAGAUGGUGCUUAUGAAGGAUUGCGGCCUGAGUUGGGCAAUCAGCCGAUAGUAGAGAUGUCGUUUUCUGUGACCCGAGUAGUGCUAUUUCUGAGGAAGGUAAGAGAUGUAAGAAGUGUUGAGAUUUUGGUUUCAGAGUUUGGGAGUAUAACCUGCGGGUUGACAUUGAUGGUGAUCUUCCACCAGAGUAUCAGGCAGUAUAUCUGCCAUGAGAUAAUCAUAUAACAUGAGCAGGACUAGGAUGCACGCUAUUUGAGUAUAGUAGGGCGUGCGUUAGUUGUAGCAUUAGAUGAACAAGAAGAGUGUAUCGGGACAGUGGCCCUUUUUGUUUAUGGUGGGUAUCAAGUGUGGGAGUGGAGUCCCUGUUUUUGUGAUGAUUCAUGUGAUGGAACGUUGGUUGAGAAGACGAGGAUGAGGAGUAUGAUGAUUCAUUAUUUCCGGACUGAGAGUUAGGGUUCUUAUAUUUAGGUACUUUUGAGAUUUGUCUGACUAGAAUAUUAACAACCUUUUGAGCAAUCGUUAGAGAUCCAUUAUUUGUUAGAUAAAUAAUGAAAUUCGUACUCAUUGAAUAGAAACAUCAUUCUCAUUCCAUAUCGUUGAUUGUGCUUGUUAACUGGGUGCUCGUUUUCAUUCCUUUUCAAUUAUUGAAAAAUAAGUCAUUUUAGUCAAGAGAAAAAGUGUCAAGUUAUAAUUUGUAUAAAUUUACAACUGCCGGUUAUGACACGCAUUUUCUAGUUUUAUGACAUAUAGAACAUUACUUAUGUUCUUGGAGGUUUUACGAUAGCAGCUUAUGACAUGCAAAUAUUUCUGUCAUAAAGGCUCUAUUUGUAUACUUUCUUGACGCAAACUUUUAUAUCGAAUAUUUAUAAAAUACUUCCUGAUAGUUUGCAAAUAGUCACAAGGUUUCAAUUUUCGAAAAUUACUAGAAAUGAUGUCCACUUAUCAAGGUCCCUUUUUAUAACUUUUAUCUCUAGACAUUAAAGCAUAGCUAAAGGGGUUAAGUUGGGCACACCCUAUAGUUGGGAGGCUCUUUUGUACACAAAGUAUCCUCUGUUCUUUAUGAAGUUGUGAAAUCUCACGUUCAUGAGUAUAUUACUAAAAUAAUAAUUUAAUAAUAAUUCACACACACGCAUACAAACAUACGUAUACAUGCAAUUAUUUAAGUAUUUAGGCAAGAUUUGACUUCUACUAUCCCCCAAAAACAUUAAAACAUUGAAAAAUGUGGGGUAUGAAGCUCACCUUGAGUUGGUUGAGGAGUUGUAUGGAGUUCUGGAGUGAAGAUCUCAAGCUUAAACUUUUGGUUGAGACGAGGAACUCCUCGGGGAAGAAUGUUAUCCUAAGGUUGAUUAUCACAUAUUAUUAUGAGUAAAAUAAUAUGGAUUUGUCUUGAAGAUUAUAUAAAAUCUUAGAUGAGUGGAGAACUUACUUUAAAAUCUCCAGGAAGAAGUUGAGAAAUCUUGCUUUCAGCAAGAUCCUUGAUUUUUGCUCUUGGGAGGAGUAGGUGAGAGUAUAGGAGAAAAGUGGGAGGAAAUGUGAAAAGCCCAAUCUUUCUACUGUCAUGCUUAAGAGUAUAAGAAAAGGGAGGAAUUUUUGGUGCAUGGGGAUUUGCUGGUCCAUGCAUGGAUAUUUGGUGGGUAAAGCAUGGGAUACUGUGAUUUGCAUGGGAAAUGAGAAUUUCAUCAAAUCACAAAGUCAACCUCUUUGUCCUUAUCUUGAUUUAGGAUAAGAUCUUCCUAAAUCCUAAACAUUUAGUUUUUAUGUAAAUAUGAUUAAAAUAAUUAAUUGUAGCAUAAAAUAGGGGUUUAAGGGGUUUAGGAUAGGAAAAAUACGAGUUUGGUGUGAUUUCCGGCGUCAAAAUGCCUUAAAAUGAUAAAAAGGUCCGAAAAUGACAAAAAUCCGGAGUGGAGGGUUGUUCCUGCAAGGGUCUGAUGGGUUUAGGAGAAGUUCCGGAGCCAUUCAGCAAGAUCCAGAGUCAUUUGGGUCAUUUCCGAAGCGGCUUCCUCAAAUCCGGAGUCAGAUGCGAAAUUGGUCGGAUCCGGGCCGAGGUACGAGGCUAGCUAGCUAGACUUCCGAAGCCAACUGAUAUGUCCGGAUGAGAAGCUUAUUCCGGAGUGAAGGAGGUUCCAAAGCAAGGAAGGUUCUGAAGGGUGUGGCUUCUCUUGGCUCCUUAGGAGGCAUUCCAGACUAAGAAGGUUGAGGACGAAGAGGGUUCCGGACCAAGAGGGUUUAGGAGCAAGAGGGUCCUUUUGGGGUUUCCUCUUCCGGUUUUGAGUUGUUUUCGACUGAGGAAGGUACUUAGAGAGAUUUGAGAUAUGUGGAGAGAUUUGGGAGAGAUUUCUCAUACUUGGAGAGAUUUCACAUACUUAGAGAGAUUUUGGAGAGAUUUUGCAUACUUGGAGAGAUUUGGGAGAGAUUUCGCAUACUUAGGGAGAUUUAGGAGAGAUUUCACAUACUUGGAGAGAUUUGGGAGAGAUUCACUAUAUUUGGAGAGAUUUUGCAUAAUUAGAGAGAUUUGGGAGAGAUUCACUAUACUUGGAGAGAUUUCGCAUACUUAGAGAUAUUUGGGAGAGAUUUCACAUACUUGGAGAGAUUUGCAUCCUAAAACUACAUGGCUGCUUAGGAACUCAUAUUGUACAUUUAGGUGUGUUAGCACAAGUCUCACAAUAGUCUUUGCUUACUUGAGGAUGAAAUUUCCUAGCCAAAAAGGCUAGUUGUGACACGAAGGGGGAGGAUUUCCGAUAGGGUCCUGAGCAACAGUCAACAUUUGAGACUCUUCCGCAGAGGUUAUGUGAGGCCCCGAUAUUGACCCUCCCAGAGGGGUUCAAGGAUUUUGUGGUAUUCUGUGAUGCAUUUAUGUAACAGCCCGGAUUCCCAGGUAUUAUUCAUUUAUUUUUGAUAAUUUGUGAGGAGACUCGGCGAUUUGGAGCCUAGACUCGCCGAGUAUGAUCGCGGAUUUGGACGCGGGUUCGCGUCUGGACUCGGCGAGUCCAAGGAAUGGACUCGGUGAGUCCGUGCUGUUUAAUGAAACCCUAAUUUCCCGGCCUUGAGCCCUAUUUAAAGGACCUUAAACCCCUUCAUUGCGACUACCUUCGACCUUGAGAGCACCAGAGCAGCUGAGAGUUCUUGUGAGUGAGAUAAGAGGCCAUUAUUCACCAUUUUUGUGUGUAUUUGCAAGAAAGGAAGAGGAAGGCCAACUAGGAGAGUUGGGGAGCUUGGAUCUUCUCCCAUUUCGGCAGAAGAGGCUACUUGAGGUAACAUUCAGAGCGUAUACUCGUGUUUUUCUUGAUAUGGUCAAAUCUAGGGUUUCUUCAUGCCUUGUUUGCCUUGUGUUUGGAGUAUGAGAGGUCCCAUGGGGAUAUGGUACCUAGAUCUGGACCUUAGAAGGUCCAGAGAGUCCCAAAUGCCAUGCUUUAUGCCUUUCCUUUUGAGUUGGAGACUUAGGUUACCAUUUUAGAGGUCAUUUCUUCAAAAGAAGCCUUGUAGGCGUUGCAUGGUAGCCAAGAUUGUGACUUUACGUGAUGAAUGUGAUUGGGAGGGCCAGAUCUAUGAGUUGUUGGAGCGGAUCUGACCUCAGUAGCGAUAUUGAGUUGAUGCAUGGCAUGGACUCGCCGAGUCCGAAGAACAGACUCGGCGAGUAGCAUGAAGAUUGUCCUUAACCACUCAGCGAGUGGUCUUGCCGAGUUAAGGGUUGACUCAGUGAGUCAGGGAGAGUUAGAGAGGGUUGACAGGUGGACUGAGUCGAGCUGGAACUCGCCAAGUUGUUCUUGAGACUCGGCGAGUUGAGUCGUGGUGGCCCCGCGAUUCAUGCCAGGUGGAACUCGUCGAGUCAGGGAAGUACUCGACGUGUCAAAAGAGGAUCCUAGGGAGUCAGUGAACACGUAUAGACUCGCCGAGUCGCUCUAGUGCACUCGCCGAGUCCGGUCAAAGUUGACCGUUGACCAGAGUUGACCAGUGUUGACUUGAUAGGGGUAGUCAACCUUAGUUGUGAAAGUGUUAAUUAGAGAUAUAUUGUGUUAUAGGAGGAUUAUAGCUCGGAGGAUCGAGCGCGAGUGAUUUCCGGGAUUUGCGAGUUAUCGAGAUACGCGAGGUGAGUCUUCUCACUAUACUUUACCUUGAGUAGGUAAUCAGAGUUAUGUGACAGAGUAUUUGUAUGCUAUAUGUAUGUUAUGUGUUGUACUGCAUUAUUUCUAUGUGAUUUAUGUUGUGCAUGUUUAUAGAGUUGGAACCGGAAGGUUCCCAGAGUUAGAACCAGUGGGUUCACAGAGUAGGGUCUACGGACCCACAGAGUUAUAGCCUCGAGUGGCUAAUAUGUGUUAUGUGUGGUAUUUUGGGGAACUCACUAAGCUUUGUGCUUACAGUGUUAGUGUUGUUUGUUUCAGGUACUAGUGAUGACCGUGGGAAGGCGCCGGCUUGAUCUGUACACACGCAUGGGAUUUUUAUGAUAUGUGAUCUUGGGAUUUUUGUAUGAUAUGGAUUGGAGUCUUAAAACAUUGAUGUUUUUAUGAAAAUUAAAUGAAAAUGUUUUUAUAUUAUGCGAAAAAUUAUUUUGAAAUUCACGGUGUUACAAGUUGGUAUCAGAGCCUUGGUUUGAGGGAUUCGAGUACACCUUCGGGCGUAUUUGAACUCAAACUGAGGAUUUGAGAAGUAUUUUCAAAAAGAGUAAAAGAUUUUUGGAAAAACGCAGAGCAGAGUUGUGUGUACGAUCAGUCCGCGCCCGAACGGUGAUUUCCCAAAAUACCCUCAUGUUAUGUGAUAUUAAUAUUGAUAUGAUGUAUUCUCAUGCUAGAGUAGGCUAGGUACUCCUAUUAGGACUAGAGUGGCCUGAUUUGUGAUGCCUUAGCCUAGGGAGAGGUGAGCUGCUAUGAGAUGCUUGAGAGUGAGUAGGUAGCAGCGAGGGGCUUAUGAGAGAUCUGUUAGAGAGUGGAUUGUGCAUGAUAGAGUACUUGGAAUUUGGGAUCCGAAGAGGAGGACUUGGGGUGUAUUCUGAUACGGUGCGGACAGUAGUAUUGGGCCCGUACUACUGAAAGCACCGGAGCGGUGUACAGCCCAAGUAAGAAUCUUUGGAAUACCAAGGAUCAAGGAGGAAUGAGUUGUCGAGUGUGAGUAUGCUCGAAUGGGUUCUAAUUUAUCGUAUGUUGUAUUUCAGAGGUAGAUCAUGGUGAGGACACGUUUGAUGCCUGAGAGCAGUGAUACCAGUGAUGAGGAGAUCCGCCGGAUCAUCCAUGAGGAGGUGGCUGCGGCCAUCAGGGCAGAGAUACCAGAGAUGUUCGGGUCUAUUAAGACCACGUUGAUUGAGACCUUCGACGAGCGUUAUGCCGCUCUUUCUGAGGCUGUUGUUGCAGCGGCCACCGCAGCUAUUGCUGCUGCGAGGCCGCAAGGUGGUGAUGUGUUGCUGUUCCGAGAGUUCAGCAACACAAAACCACCAGAGUUUGAUGGGACCCAGGACCCGGUGGCAGCUAUGAGGUGGAUUUCUGACAUAGAGGGGUGUUUCUUCACUUGCUCAUCUCCUGAGCAUUUGAAGGUUCGGUUCGCGCUGAACCAGCUUCGCUUGGGAGCGAAGGACUGGUGGAAGUUUGUGACGGCGCAUUUUACGCCUGCUGAGCUUGCGGCAGUGACCUGGGAGAGGUUCACUGCCAUGUUCCGAGAUGAGUACGUUCCCCAGGUGGAGAGGGAGCGUUUGGCCCAGGAGUUUCUGACCCUCAAGCAGGGUACUGAGUCUGUUACGGUGAUUACCAGGAUGUUCCAUGAGAGGGCGAUGUUCUGCCCUGAGCACGUGUCCACUGAGCAGGCACGUAUGAGCCGAUAUUUGAGUAUCUUGAGGCGAGACAUUCGGGAGUUCGCGGCGAACUCCUCGUACCGGACAUUUGCUGAGCUUCAGGCAAAUGCCCGGAAGAGGGAGAUUGAGCUAGAGACUCAGGCCAGGGAGGAGGCGGAGUCUCAGGGGAGGGAUCGGCGACCGGCACAGUCUCAGCCGGCAGCCAAGCGGGCCAAGCCCGCUGAUCCCAAACCAGGGAGCCAGAAGGGCCGCACUUGUGGGAAGUGUGGCAAGGGUCAUGAUGGAGUCUGUAGAGCGGGAUCUUGCUACAAGUGUGGCAAGGAGGGGCACAUGGCCAAGGACUGCCCCAAGGGGUUUGCGGUGUGUUUUCACUGCAACCAGACCGGACACCGGAAGGCAGAGUGUCCGCAGUUGCGAGGAUCAUCUCAGGGAGCACCUCAGGGAUCUGCCCCUGCCGCCAUCAGAGCUACAGAGAGUCGGCCAGUGAAGGCCGAGGCGCCGAGGGCACGAGGGAGAGCCUUUCAGCUGACCGCGGAGGAGGUCCGCGCAGCGCCCGAUGUCGUGGCUGGUAUGUAUUCUUUCAUGUAUUUAUUUUGAUGUUGAGAUAUUAUGCUUAUGUUAUGUUAUGCGUAGGUACUUUUCUUGUGAAUUCUGUACCUGCCUUGGUGUUAUUUGACUCGGGUGCGAGUCGGUCUUUUGUAUCUUUGGCUUUUAGUCAGCAUAUCAGUGUUAGUCGUGAGGCGUUGAGUCGGCCUCUGAGAGUUUCCAUAGCUGAUGAGAGGGUGAUAUAUGCCACGGAGGUUCUCCGAGGUUGCGUAGUCGAGAUUUUCGGUGUUGAGUUCCCGAUUGAUCUGGUUCCUAUUGCGAUGGGUGAUGUCUGUGUCAUUGUGGGCAUGGACUGGUUGAGCAGAUUCGGUGCGGUUAUCGACUGCGAGCGACAGCUGGUGACCAUACGAGACCCUAGUGGGGGAGUUAUUUCGGUGUACGGCAAGGGUACACGUUCAGGAUCAGCGUUUAGUUCGGCCGCUAGGGCGAGGCAGUGUAUACAGCAGGGCUGUAAGGGUUUUGUGGCGUAUGUGAUGGAUACGCGGGUGGAUUCCGAGAGGCCGAGGUCAGUUGAGGAGGUUCCGGUAGUGCGUGAGUUCCCGGAUGUAUUUCCCGAGGAGUUGCCGGGUGUGCCUCCUGUGAGGCAAGUGGAGUUCAGUAUCGAUUUGGUUCCGGGGGCCGCGCCUAUCGCUAAGGUGCCUUAUCGCCUUGCACCUCCAGAGAUGCAAGAGUUAUCCUCACAGCUUCAGGAGCUGCUGGGGAAGGGGUUUAUUCGGCCGAGCAGCUCGCCGUGGGGAGCGCCUAUCCUGUUCGUCAAGAAGAAGGAUGGUUCACACCGGAUGUGCAUUGAUUACCGGGAGUUGAACAAGCUGACGGUCAAGAACCGUUACCCGUUGCCGAGGAUCGACGAUUUAUUCGAUCAGUUGCAGGGAGCAUCUUGGUUUUCCAAGAUCGAUUUGAGGUCUGGAUAUCAUCAGGUGAGGGUGCGGGAUGAGGACGUCCAGAAGACAGCGUUUAGGACGCGUUAUGGGCAUUAUGAGUUUGUGGUGAUGCCUUUUGGGCUCACCAAUGCCCCGACGGUGUUCAUGGAUCUCAUGAACCGAGUGUGUAGGCCGAUGUUGGAUCGGUCGGUGAUUGUAUUUAUCGAUGACAUUCUGGUAUAUUCGAGAUCUAGAGAGCAGCAUGAGGAGCAUUUGAGAGAGGUUCUCGGAGUUCUGAGAUCGGAGAGGCUUUAUGCCAAAUUCUCCAAGUGUGAUUUCUGGUUGCGGGAGGUCUAGUUCUUAGGACAUCUUGUUAACCAGAAAGGGAUAUUGGUCGAACCGGCCAAGGUUGAAGCAGUGAUGAGUUGGGAGGUGCCGAGGUCACCCUCCGAGAUUAGGAGUUUCCUAGGGUUGGCAGGGUAUUAUCGGAGAUUUAUCAAGGAUUUCUCUAAGAUCGCAGUGCCACUCACCAGAUUGACCCGGAAGGGUGUUGCUUUUUCAUGGGGCCCCGAGCAGCAGGCCUCCUUUGAGACACUUCGCCAAAGGUUGUGCGAAGCCCCGGUGUUAGCUCUCCCGGAAGGGAUGGAGGACUUUGUGGUAUACUGUGAUGCAUCGAUUUUGGGGUUGGGAGCGGUGCUGAUGCAGAGAGGGCAUGUGAUAGCAUAUGCAUCGAGGCAGCUGAAGCCUCAUGAGACGAGAUAUCCCACCCAUGAUCUAGAAUUGGGGGCAGUGGUGUUCGCCCUCAAGAUUUGGCGUCACUACCUGUAUGGGGUUCGGUGUACGAUAUACACGGACCAUAAGAGUUUGAAGUAUUUGAUGGAUCAGCCCAACCUAAAUAUGCGACAGAGAAGGUGGUUGGAUGUGGUCAAGGAUUAUGAUUGUGAGAUCCUGUACCACCCAGGCAAGGCUAAUGUGGUAGCCGAUGCGUUGAGCCGCAGGGCGGAGAGCACUCCACUGCGGGAUGUAUGUUUGAGAUUGACCGUGAUAGCUCCGGUAUUGGACGCCAUUCGUGGGGCACAGGCCGAGGCUGUGCAACCUGAGAUGCAGAAGAGGGAACGGGUUGUUGGUUUGGUUUCAGAGUUCGUUACCGAUGGUCGGGGGCUUAUGACAUUUCAGGGGCGUAUCUGGGUACCGUUUGUGGGAGGAACGCGUACCAUUUUGAUGGAGGAGGCUCAUCGGUCGAAAUUUUCGAUCCAUCCGGGGGCCACUAAGAUGUAUUUGGAUCUGAGAAAGGAGUAUUGGUGGCCCUGUAUGAAGAGGGAUGUCGCGUGGUUUGUUGAGAGGUGCUUGACCUGCCGUAGGGUUAAGGCCGAGCACCAGAGGCCGCAUGGUAAGUUGCAGCCAUUGGAGGUUCCCGAAUGGAAGUGGGAACAGAUCACUAUGGAUUUCAUCACCAAAUUGCCAAGGACUGCCAGAGGAGUUGAUGCAAUUUGGGUGAUUGUGGACAGAUUGACGAAGAGCGCUCACUUCCUUGCUAUCAGCGAGAGUUCUUCAGCAGAGAAAUUGGCGGAGGUGUAUGUGAGGGAAGUGGUAUCUCGGCAUGGGGUGCCGAUCUCGAUUGUUUCAGACCGUGAUGUGCGCUUCACUUCCAGAUUCUGGAAGAAGUUUCAUGAGGAGUUGGGUACUAGACUGCAUUUUAGUACCGCAUAUCAUCCCCAGACAGACGGUCAGAGUGAGCGGACGAUUCAGACGCUCGAGGACAUGCUCCGGGCAUGUGUGUUGGAUUUCGGGGGUAGAUGGGAUGCAUAUUUUCCCUUGGCAGAGUUUUCCUACAACAGCAGCCAUCAUUCAAGCAUUGGUAUGCCACCCUUUGAGCUGUUGUAUGGGAGGAGGUGUCGGACCCCCAUUUGUUGGGGAGAGGUUGGUCAGCGGGUGAUGGGCAGUACAGAGAUCGUGCUUCAGACGACAGAGCAGAUUCAGCAGGUCAGACAGAGGUUGUUGACCGCUCAGAGCCGACAGAAGAGUUAUGCAGACAGACGNUUUUGCAGACAGACGUCGGUCCGAGCUUGAGUUUCAGGUCCGCGACCUUGUACUCCUGAAGGUCUCUCCUUGGAAAGGAGUGAUUCGAUUCAGGAAGAGGGGCAAGUUGGGACCCCGAUAUAUUGGGCCAUUUCGUGUGAUUGCAAGGGUAGGCCGGGUAGCCUAUCGUUUGGAGUUGCCAGCAGAGUUGGGGCAGAUCCACGACACUUUUCAUGUGUCGCAAUUGAGGAAGUGUAUAGCCGAUGAGUCGGCAGUGGUUCCAUUAGAGGAUAUUCAGGUGGAUGCGAGCCUGAAUUAUGCCGAGAGACCAGUGGCCAUCAGAGAUCGGAAAAUCAAGGUUCUGAGGAACAAGGAGGUACCCCUGGUGUUGGUCCAGUGGCAACACAGGAAGGGAUCAGAGAUGACCUGGGAGCCGGAGCGUGAGAUGCGUGAGCAGCAUCNAAGUUAUUUGCAGAGAGAGACUUUGAGGGCGAAGUCUAGUUCUAGUGGGGGAGAAUUGUAACAGCCUGGAUUCCCAAGUAUUAUUCAUUUAUUUUUGAUAAUUUGUGAGGAGACUCGGCGAGUUGGAGCCUAGACUCGUCGAGUAUGAUCGCGGAUUUGGACACGGGUUCGCGUCUGGACUCGGCGAGUCCAAGGAAUGGACUUGGCGAGUCCACACUGUUUAAUGAAACCCUAAUUUCCCAGCCUUGAGCCCUAUUUAAAGGACCUUGAACCCCUUCAUUGCGACUACCUUCGACCUUGAGAGCACCAGAGCAGCUGAGAGUUCUUGUGAGUGAGAUAAGAGGCCAUUAUUCACCAUUUUUGUGUGUAUUUCCAAGAAAGGAAGAGGAAGGCCAACUAGGAGAGUUGGGGAGCUUGGAUCUUCUCCCAUUUCGGCAGAAGAGGCUACUUGAGGUAACAUUCAGAGCGUAUACUCGUGUUUUUCUUGAUAUGGUCAAAUCUAGGGUUUCUUCAUGCCUUGUUUGCCUUGUGUUUGGAGUAUGAGAGGUCCCAUGGGGAUAUGGUACCUAGAUCUGGACCUUAGUAGGUCCAGAGAGUCCCAAAUGCCAUGCUUUAUGCCUUUCCUUUUGAGUUGGAGACUUAGGUUACCAUUUUAGAGGUCAUUUCUUCAAAAGAAGCCUUGUAGGCGUUGCAUGGUAGCCAAGAUUGUGACUUUACGUGAUGAAUGUGAUUGGGAGGGCCAGAUCUAUGAGUUGUUGGAGCGGAUCUGACCUCAGAAGCGAGAUUGAGUUGAUGCAUGGCAUGGACUCGCCGAGUCCGAAGAACAGACUCGGCGAGUAGCAUGAAGAUUGUCCUUAACCACUCAGCGAGUGGUCUUGCCGAGUUAAGGGUUGACUCAGUGAGUCAGGGAGAGUUAGAGAGGGUUGACAGAUGGACUGAGUCGAGCUGGAACUCGCCGAGUUGUUCUUGAGACUCGGCGAGUUGAGUCGUGGUGGCCCCGCGAUUCAUGCCAGGUGGAACUCGUCGAGUUGGGGGUGUACUCGACGUGUUAGGAGAGGAUCCUAGGGAGUCAGUGAACACGUAUAGACUCGCUGAGUCUCCCUAGUGCACUCGCCGAGUCCGGUCAAAGUUGAUCGUUGACUGUUGACCAAAGUUGACAAGUGUUGACUUGAGAGGGGUAGUCAACCUUAGUGGUAAAAGUGUUAAUUAGAGAUAUAUGAUGUUAUAGGAGGAUUAUAGCUCGGAGGAUCGAGCACGAGUGAUUUCCAGGAUUCGCGAGUUAUCGAGAUAUACGAGGUGAGUCUUCUCACUAUACUUUACCUUGAGUAGGUAACCAGAGUUAUGUGAUAGAGUAUUUGUAUGUUAUAUGUUAUGUGUUGUACUACAUUAUCUCUAUGUGAUUUAUGCUGUGCAUGUUUAUAGAGUUAGAACCGGAAGGUUCACAGAGUUAGAACCAGAGGGUUCACAGAGUAGGGUCCACAGACCCAUAGAGUUAUAGCCUCGAGUGGCUAAUAUGUGUUAUGUGUGGUAUUUUGGGGAACUCACUAAGCUUUGUGCUUACAGUGUUAGUGUUGUUUGUUUCAGGUACUAGUGAUGACCGUGGGAAGGCGUCGGCUUGAUCUGUACACACGCAUGGGAUUUUUAUGAUAUGUGAUCUUGGGAUUUUUGUAUGAUAUGGAUUGGAGUCUUAAAACAUUGAUGUUUUUAUGAAAAUUAAAUGAAAAUGUUUUUAUAUUAUGCGAAAAAUUAUUUUGAAAUUCACGGUGUUACAAUUUAUCACCAGUUUGGGGGUGAUCCUCCUGCAGAGUAGACGAGUGAUUACUUAUGCUUCGUGACACCUGAAGCCGCAUGAGACGUGAUAUCCUGCGCAUGACUGGGAGUUAGGGGCAGUGGUGUUUGCCCUCAAGAUUUGGAGACAUUACCUAUAUGGGGUCCGUUGUACUGUCUACACGGAUCACAAGAGUUUGAGAUACCGGAUGGACCAACCGAAAUAGAACAUGAGGUAACCCAUGUGGCUAGACAUGGUCAAGGAUUAUGACUACAAGAUCCUUUACCAUCCGGGUAAAGCGAAUAUGGUGGCAGAUGCUUUGAACUGCAAGUCGUCUGAAUCUUCAGUCAGGGAGAUGUGUAUGAGGAUAUGCAUGGAUUCUCCGCCUUUUAGAUUGAUCAGAGAGGCCCGGGUAGAGGGGGUUCAGAAAGAGAACUGGAAAUACGAAAGGAUCAAGGGUGAGAUUGACAGGUUUGUCACAAAUAGUCGAGGGUUGUUGACACGGCUUGGUCGAGUUUAGGUUCCAGUUUCUGGUGGGUCAGACAGAUUGUGUUAAAGGAGGCUCAUAAUUCUCGUUUUUCUAUACACCGGGAGCCACCAAGAUGUAACAGGAUUUGAGAUUGAGCUACUGGUGGCUAUGUAUGUAGAGAGAGAUAGCCUGGUAUGUCGAGAGAUGCUUGACCUGCAUGAUGGUCAAGGUUGAGCAUCAGAGGCCGCAUGGCAAGAUAAAGCCUCUGGAGGUUUCCAUGUAAGAAUGGGAGUAGAUCACCAUGGAUUUUAUCACCAAGUUGCCAAAGACGACAAAGGUUUUUGAUGCUAUAUGGGUCAUCGUGGAUCGGAUGACCAAGCAUGCCCACUUUUUGGCCAUCCGGGAGAGCUCUUCGGCCGAAAAGUUGGCCGAUUUUUAUGUCUGAGAGAUUGUCGCUCGCCAUGGCGUUCCAUUUUCCAUUGUUUCUGACCGAAUUAUUUGGUUCACCUCUUAUUUCUUGAAAAAGUUCCACGAGGAACUGGGCACGAGUUUACAUUUCAACAUCGCAUAUUAUCCGCAGACCGACGGCCAGAGUGAGCGGACGAUAUAGACGCUUGAGGAUAUGUUGCUGGCCUAUGUUAUUGAUUUUGGUGGGAGUUGGGAUUCCUACCUACCUCUUGUAGAGUUCUCCGAUAACAACAGUUGUGACUCUAGCAUUGGUGCUCCACCUUUCGAUCUCUUGUAUGGUCGGAGAUGUCAUACCCUGGUUUGUUGGGGAGAGGUUGGUCACAAGGUUAUGGGAAGGACCGAAGUAGUCCUUCAAACAAUGGAGCUUAUUCAACAGAUCAUGCAAAGACUGUAGACUGCUCAAAGUCGGCAGAAGAGCUACCCCGACACGUGCCGAUCUGACUUAGAUUUUUAGGUCGGUGAUAUGGUACUCCUGAAGGUCUCACCCUGGAAGGGUGUGAUACGCUUCAGGAAGAAAAGGAAAUUGGUUCCCCGGUAUAUUGGACCUUUUCGGGUGAUUGUUAGGGUUGGUAAGGUGGGUUACAUAUUGGAUCUACCUGAGGACCUUCGUCAAGUUCACAACACCUUCCAUGUUUCGUAGUUGCGAAAGUGUGUAUUGGAUGAUGAGGCAGUGGUUUCCUUGGAUGAUAUUCUGGUCAAUGAGCGCCUGAACUAUAUAUAUAAUGACAUGAUAAGUAGGAGUAUGGUAUAAUGCUUCUAAUGUUAUGAUGUGUUGGAAUUCACUAAGCUUCAUGCUCACCCUUUCCUUUAUAAAUGACUAGUACAUGUACAUCAUGUACGAAUAAGAGUAAAGAAAAAGUUUGACUGUAUACUGACGCAGUUUGAAGAUUGGAUCCUUAUCACAGACACUUGAUAUGAGAUUUUAUCACUAUUAGUUUUUCCCCUGUUGAUUGGAUUACAAAUGAAUUAGUAUUGUUAAAUGUAUGCUUUAAAAUGUUAUUUUGAGUACUUAAAUUUAACAGUUUUGGUUAAUUAAUGGAUUUAAUGGUGAUUUUUAAUAAAUAUAAAUGAUUUAAAAAUUUUAAAUUUAUUUGAAAUUUUAGAACAUUACAUGUUGUCACAAUGCAUGGGUGUAGGCUGAGAGAUGUGAACACCCAUGUCUCCAAGAAGCCAACACAACCAAAUAAGGUCACAAGUGGUAGCAUGGUAUGUCGAGAGAUGCUUGACCUGCAUGAUGGUCAAGGUUGAGCAUCAGAGGCCACAUGGAAAGCUGCAGCCUCUGGAGGUUUCCAUGUAGAAAUGGGAGUAUAUCUCCAUGGAUUUUAUCACCAAGUUGCCGAAGACGACAAAGGUUUUUGAUGCUAUAUGGGUCAUUGUGGAUCGGAUGACCAAGCGUGCCCACUUUUUGGCCAUCCGGGAGAGCUCUUCGACCAAAAAGUUGGCCGAUGUUUAUGUUUGAGAGAUUGUCGCUCGCCAUGGGGUUCGAGUUUCCAUUUUUUCUGACCGAGUUGUUCGGUUCACCUCCCAUUUCUGGUAGAAGUUCCACGAGGUUACAUUUCAACAUCGCAUAUCAUCUGCAGACCGACGGCCAGAGUGAGCGGACGAUACAGACGCUUGAGGAUAUGUUGUUGGCCUAUGCUACUAAUUUUGGUGGGAGUUGGGAUUCCUACCUACUUCUUGCAGAGUUCUCCGAUAACAAUAGUUUUCACUCUAGCAUUAGUGCUCCACCUUUCGAUCUCUUGUAUAGUCGGAGAUGUCGUACCCUGGUUUGUUGGGGAGUGGUUGGUUACAAGGUUAUGGGAAGGACCAAAGUAGUCCUUCAGACCACGGAGCUUAUUCAACAGAUCAUGCAGAGACUGUAGACCGCUCAAAGUCGGCAGAAGAGCUACCCCGACAUGUGCCGAUCUGACUUAGAGUUUCAGGUCGGCGAUAUGGUUCUCCUGAAGGUCUCACCCUGGAAGGGUGUGAUACGCUUCAGGAAGAAUGGGAAAUUGGUUCCCUAGUAUAUUGGACCUUUUCGGGUGAUUGCUAGGGUUGGUAAGGUGGGUUACAUGUUGGAUCUACCCAAGGACCUCCGUCAAGUUCACAACACCUUCCAUGUUUCGCAGUUGCGAAAGUGCGUAUUGGAUGAUGAGGCAGUGGUUUCCUUGGAUGAUAUUUUGGUCGAUAAACGCAUGAACUAUAUAUAUAUAUAAUGACAUGAGAGAUGUGAACACCCAUGUCUCCAAGAAGCCAACGCAACCAAAUAAGGUCACAAGUGGUAGAAACCAUAGCUUUCUAUUCAGCCUUCGUUGAAGACCGAGACAACGUCAUGUUUGUUACUAUUCUAAGAAAUCAAACAAAUCUCCAAUAAAUAUACAAAAACUAGUGGUGGAUUUGCGAUCAUAAGUAUCACUACCUCGAUCAGCAUCACUAUAAGCACAUAACUUAAGAGAGGACAUGGAAAGAAACACAAGGUGGUGAAACUGAAUGCCCUGAAGAUAUGUCAAGAUACGAAGAACAACUCCCUGAUGAAUAGUAUAAGGAUCAGUAACAAACUGGCUAACCACAUCAACUAUAUGAGUUAUAUCUGACGGUGUGACUCACAAUGGUUUGAUCUGCACUAGGAUCUGAUAAGAGUACAUUAUCAGUUGGAGAGUGAAACACCCUUCGCUUGAAUAUUUAUAGAAUAGUAUUAAAAACAAGUUUUAAAUGUUUAAAAUCCAUGUGUCAAGUUGUAAAAUAAGUUGCGGAAUAUUAACGGUCCCAAAACAUUCAAGUUAAUAGUUUUUUAAAGGCAUAGUUCCAAUAGGUAUCAUCACAAAGAUUAAAGUUCCCUACAAGUCGGGGUCUUCUAAAUGUUCCUAACUUCUAAAGCCUCUAACAUCUUCAAUCUAAACAUACAUCAAAAUAAGUUACUGUCACAACCAGGAAUUUUGAUGCUUUGUAAACAUUGAACAAUGAUAACAUGGUAAUUAAAACUUGAAAGCAUGUAUGAUGCUUAUUCUAUGACAACAAAAUUCCAUCAAACACUCUAUACAAACGCUUCAAAUACUCAACAAAGAAUUGGAAACCCUAAAAGUCCCGGUUUAAGACCAUCAUGGACUAGGAUUUCCUUAUUGGGCCUAAUGGGCCAAUAAGCUUCCAAAUUGACUAUUUUGGGCUUAGAACUCUUAAAUGGACCCUAAUUGGACCCAUUUACAUGACACUUAAUAUUUUGGGCCUCAUAAGCCUAGAAUGGACUAGUUUAUCUUUAAUGGGCCUUAUUGGGCCAUAACAAAUCUAAUUAGCCCUAAUGGGCCAUAAAACUCAUACUUUGAUUUGUAUUGGGCUGUAAACCAUCUCCAAAGACCAAUUGGGCAGAAAAUCAUCAAAAUGGGCCCAUAAUAUGGACUUAAGCACAAAAGGCCCAAAUUCUAUUCUUUCUUCUCCCUUUCUCGACCCAAGAGGAUAAAAAAAUAGAAACUAGUGAAAUAAGGAGGGUUAGCCAACUCCUUAUUACAUAAUGGGCAUACAUGCAAUAACUUCCAUACUUCCAUGCACCAUUCUCAUGUUUCCAUGCAUCCAUCACAUCCAUAUCUCUCUCUUCCCUCUUCUUCUUCUUACCUUCGGCCGAGAGUAAACACACACACACACACAAAUAAUUCAUUCCAACUCUUUCCAAAUUCUCUCAAGAACACUUUCACUUCUCCUUCAAAAAUUUCGAGAUUAAGAGCUUUUCAAGGAGGUUAUUCCACAAAAAUCAUCAUCUUAGGUAAGUUGAUGCUUGGAUCCAUAAUCUGGACUCUUUGUUUUAUCAAAAAUCUCUUCUUAACUCAUAUAAACUCAUGAUCAUCAUCCUAGAAACCUCUAAGAUUGAAAUCAAUCCAAGAAAGCUUGCUAGGGCCGAAAAUAACAUCAAACUCUUCCAUCUCUUCUUCAAAUCGAAAUCAACAACCAAAGGUGAGUUCAUACCCCUCUAUUUUCGGUUUUUACAAGAUUUAUGGGGUAGAAUACAAGUAAGAUGUGUAGAUCUAUGUGUUUUUUAUGAUAUAUGUGAUUUCUUGAAUUUAUUUGAUAAAUAUGUGUGAAAAAUCAUGAUCUAGCCGAGAUCCUUAACCAUGACUAGGAAAUAUACGUUCAAUAACAUCUUAAAACAUGUUAUUAUCAAGAUCAAAGUACUAUACAAGUUCAAAAUAAGCAAAACAAAACACAAAUCCAAAUUAUGAACCAUUUUUGACAAAUAAGUAAAAGAUGGGAAAUAAAUGUCAUUUACGGUUUUAUAAGGGUCAAAAAGGUCAAAUCAGCUAAAAUAUGCUAUUAUAACAAUCUUGAUUUUUAAAAGGACUAAAAGUGUAAAUUUUAGCCUAAUGGGCUAAACCUUGGGCUUUUCGGCCUUUAGGCCCAAAUUUUUGAAAAAGGUGUUUUUCAAGGGGUUGAAAUGAUAAAAUUCUCAAAACAAGGGGAAAAAGAGUAAACAAAAUUAAUUCAGGGGAAUACAAUGAUAUUUUUUCCAAACAAUGAUCAAAAUGUAAAGGUUUUGGAUUUUUGGCCAAAAUUGUAAAAGUUGCACAAGUUUGGGCUUUAACCGAAAAACACUUUUCUGGAAGGGCUGAAACUGCCAAAGAAUAAGUUUUGAGCUAAAAAUAUCACUUGAACAAGUCUACGGGUCAAAAGUGUCAAGAAAAUGGUUUAAGGGCUUAAAAUGUCUUUUUUUUAUAAAGGACUAAAAUUGUCAUUUUUUUACUAAAGAAGGGCUGAGAGGGUUCAAACCAAUAUUUUUGAGUCAAUGAUUUUAUUUUUAAGAUAUUGAGUAAAAAACACCAAACUACAACUUACGAAAAAUAGAAACACGAAUAUACAUGAAAUUCUAAAUAUCGUUAUAAGUAACCGACCGGCCUCGUGUCGUUACGAAUCUAGAAAUCAAUAUUUCUGACAAUCAUGCAAUACCUAAAACAAUUAAAUAUUCAAAUCUUUGGGCUUGAAAGUUCCAAUCAUGCUUGUUGGGCCUUUGUGACCCAUUAACAUGACUUUUGGGCCCAAAAGAUAAUAAUAAAUGUUAUUAGGCCUUCUAUGACCCAAUUUCAUAUUUAAGGGACCCUCAAUGGCUUUUAAGUGCUAUUGGGCCUUAGUGGCCCAUUAGCAUUGCUAGUAAGGUCCAAGUAAAUCAAAUGCGAAAUGGGCCAACGUGCCCUUCGUAUACACAAUAGCCAUAAAUAAUACGUGAGAUUAGUAGGACUUUGUAAUCUUCUUCUCCUCGUUUAUUAGGAAUACCUUCAAUUCAGUAAACAUAUACAGGUCGUUAAUCAAUGGUAAUCAAAUUCAUGUUAGAUUUAGUGAGUAAUAGCGGGUGACACCUCGAUGGGCCGUCUGUAGUCUGUAGUUAUAAUUAAAGUUUCCUGGAGGGAGAGCGAGAGUUUGUGUAUAGAUCUAUACGGAGAUGACUCCCCCACACCUCAGUUGUUCGCUACAGUUAGACUCGGCCAGUCUAGGGUGACAAAUUCUUAAGAUCAAUUCCAGCAUUCGUUAGAAUGCCAAGACAGACGAACUAGUCAUUAUCAUGCGUGGGUAUAACGACUCACAUAAACAAAUCUAAUACUAUCCAAGUAAUUAAGGAAAAAUCAUAAUCAUUCGUUGUAACGGUAUAACAAUUUGAAACAAUUAUAUUUUCUGAUCGGAAAACAUCAGGUUUUUCGAGGAAAUCAACACCACUCAUUUGUACUUUUCGAAAACUAUAUGUCAAAACUUUUCAUUUAUACACUCUUUGAAAUCAUUCAUGCAUAAACAUAUGGAUCUUCACACUUUGCUAUAAACAAUUGUCUUUUUUCAGAAAAUAUCGGAUUUUCUGGGUUUUAUAAACUACACAAAACGUUUUCACAACAACCACGCUUAUAAACUCACCAACAUUCCAUAUGUUGACGUUUUUCAAAAUAACUUGUAUUCUUAGGUAACAGGUAAGCUGAGGAGUAAUACCGAGUACGUUAGGGUGUUAUGCUUUUGAAAACUAUCAAACAAUUUAUGUUAUGGAUAUGUAAUGUUUAAACAAUGUACUUGAUGUGAACAAUGUCAGUUGUAAUAUAUUGAUGCAUGGUGAUGUUUAUGUUCUGAUUCAUGUAUAUUCAUUGUGAUGAUAUUCAAUUUUAGUCAUGCGAGCCCUCGGACGUUUCUGCCAUUUGGUUCGGGGGUGUGACAGUUACACAAUGGAAUUUCUAAUGAGUUACCUGUGUUUGAUUUGUUUGAGUAAGAGAUAGCAAUCUAUAUACUCAAAUCAAACCUCCAAAAAUAGUUUUUUUUUUUUUUUUUUUUUUUUUUUUUUUUUUUUUUUUUUUUAAAUACAACUCCUGAUUUCAAAUCAAUAUGCAAUAAGAUCAUAUAUUUCAAAUAGUAAAACAUGGGUAUUAAAUCAAUAUAAGAUGUAAUGCAUGCUACUAACCCAACCCAUGCCAAUCUCAAUAAGUCCAAUCUUACAAAAAAAAAUGAUGGUGGACACUUGAGGGUACUCCCCUCAAGUUGCUAGAGAAUAUGGGACUCCCAUAUUUAUAAAUCUAUAGGAAAAGGGAACUCCCGUUUUCAUUGUUCGGUUAAGUGGGACUCCCACCAUCGAUAUAGGAACGAGGUAGCCAUAUCCCUAGUUCCACACAAGAGGUAUCUAGCCCUUAUGGGCAUGUGACGAUUAUCUAGAAAUCUACUCACAACAACUCAACACGCAGUGGAUCCAAAGGAUUUGACAACUCUAGUCACCCAUCCUAAUAUAUAUGCACAAUUGGAAUGCCAAAAUUGAUUUAUAAAAAUAUAAAGUCAUUUUACUUUUUAAACCAAUUCAUUUCCAAAUGUCAUUUCAUGAAUUUCAUGAAUGCACAUAUAGUUCACAUAGAAUUCACAGUAUAAAUAUAAUAUCAUAUAAUGAAAACUAUAAGAUUAUUUACUAAAAAUCCUAUAAGAACUAUAGUAGAUUACUAAAAAUAACCAAAAUAGCCAUAUAAGAUUUUUAUUAUUUAAACCUUCCCCAUAAGCUUAUUUACUUCCUAUUAUAAUAUAUAUACAGUUUGAGGGCAAUCGGAUGUCGUUUACUAGGUUUUCCUUGAAAAAAAAAUAAAUUUAAGAGAAUGCCUAACACGGCCUCGUGUCAUAUUACACUAUAGUGACACGCCCCAUGUCAUGCCUGACACGUCCCCAUGUCACUUAUGCCUAAUAUGACAUGAAUCGUGUCAACCCUGUUGUAAGACAUUGGAGAGCAUCAAAGAAUUCGAUGAUGCGAUGGCAAGAAGACGGGGGAGCAGGGGUUGUUGAGUCUUAAUACUUUUACAUUUGAAGGUGGCGGAGUUGGCGCCAGACUAGUACAGUGCCCCAUCGACCAUUUUUGAGAACUAGAGUAAGGAAAAAAAAGGUAGCCUAGAUACACAAAUAUACAAGCCUAGAAAUUUUAUCUCUUCCAUAUGGAUGGAUCGAACCUUCAUUGAUAUACUAACAUGUUUGAUUAAGCACCUUAAUACAACAUGAGACCCAUUCCGUAACUUGUAAUCCCCACGAGGCUUUGGGUUCGUUUUUCCUAAAUGAUGGCAUCGAAAAGUACAUAAUUGAAAUCAAGGCCCUUUCUUCUUUAAUUUUUUAUCGGACUCAAGAGUAAUCAAUUGGGUGGUUUCCUCGUGGCUUAAAGGCAGAAAUCAAAAAUUAUGUAUAGCCUCUAUCUAUCCAUCUGCAAACAAGCCGUUGAAUUAUCCCGUAACGUCAAAGCCUCCAUGGGGCUUUACAUCUGUAAGUUUUCCACCAAAUGUCGUUGUGACAAUUCCAAUAUGGGUUUCUUCAAUCCAAACUAGUUGGAGGCUGUGAUUGCAAUCACUUAGACUAAAAUCACAUUUGGGACUCUCACCCAAACCUACUCACCAGAAAAAACAAACUCUAAUGUUUGGAGCCCUGGUACUCGCCAUCUCUCAAAGCAAGAGUGGGAAGACCAUCAUGGGCGGGGUUUAUGUACACACUACAACAAAAGUGCAUCAAAGGCAGCUUACGUUGUGAGUUUUUAUCCUUAGAGUCUUAUGGUUUACCCAUUACUUAUGCCUAAUGCACUUACCCUUUCUAUCGGGUUAUCGACUUUUUCAAAGUCAACUUUGAAGAUCAUCGACUUCUUUUCUCUAGCUUGAUUAGUUUUAUACAAAAAAUGAAUUAUUCAUGUUAACAACAUACUUUUUGUAAUCAUAUUAACACACUAAAUGUUUAUAAAUGGUUAAAAAAAUAUUUGGAUUAUCCCAACUCAAAAAAUUGUCCGUUUUAAUAGGGGUUACUCAACUCGUAUAUUUUGCCGAUUAUAUAAAAUGGAAGACCUUGAUGUUACAAGUGUAACUAGCUAAAACUUUAAAGAUGGAUUUGAAACUUGUUCAUAUGCUAAAGCUUGAACAAGUAGGUCUUACUGGAAAAAAAAGCAUAAAAGGUCAAAUAUCAAAAGAACAUGAUACCUACGUAUACAUACCUCUUGGAAGAGUGGGAUCAUCUUACAGUUUACUAGUUUAUAUGUAUCACAUAAUAUUCAUAUACAAUUAUUAUAACCAAUAAAUAAUAUAUGAACGAAAACAAGUAACACACAUUUAGCACACGUUGAGGGUUUCAAGGAAUUUGAGUCCCAAUUUCCCAAACCAAGACAAAAUUGCAAGUCGUCUCCUAAAAAUCGUCGUUCGAAUGACCAUGAAACUUCAAGGAAGCCUACUGGCUACAAACAAGUGGACAAUAUCCACUUGUGAAAUGGCUUCACAAACUUUGCUAUCCUUCAAAAGGGUUCAUAUUGUAAUUUCAUACCAUCCUCACGUUCCAUGUAAUUUCUUCGUUCUAUUUUAUAAUAUUUCAUCCCCUAUAUAUUUAACUAAACACCAAUCAACAACUGGAAAAACAAUUAAAAUCAACUUACAAACUGUUCUUUAAGUGUGUGUUUUACAAAGAGAGAAAAUGGAGGUAGAGAAAGAAUCAGUGAAACUCAGCCUGAGCAAUGAGCUUACAAAAACAGCUCAAUCUCUAUCCAUGGAAGCCCACAAACAAAACAAACCUUUCAUCACAAACCUCAACAAGAAACCAUCAAUGGAGGUUGCUAUCUUCGCAUUUCCAGGAUCGUGGGAAGUCAGCAACUGGUACCAUGGUGAUCUUUUUGGAGAAACCGAGGUUGAUCGUAAACUCUUCAAGUCCCUGUGCCGGAUCGGAGAGAAUCGACCCGCCAAAGUCAACGCAGCAUUUCUUAAAAGAUUUCAAGAUCUUUUAAACGAUUCCACGUUCAAAUCCGAGGUAUAAAUCUAACAACUUUACUUUCAAGUUAUAAUUUUAGAUUUGAAAACGAAGAACAUUGACCGAAAGUCAAACUGUAAAAAUUUCAGAUAGAGAAAGCUGUGAACGCAAAAAAGAAGAUUUUAUUCACGGGGCAUUUGUAUGGUGGUGCGACAGCAAGUUUUGCCACACUUUGGAUGCUCGAUGAAUACAUAAAAAAACGCGGUAAAAAAUUCCCAAUCGGGUGCGUCACUUUCGGGUCACCUCUGAUUGGUGAUCGGACCCUGUCCCACGCAGUCCGGCGUGAGAAAUGGGCGGGUCAUUUUACCCAUUUUGUCAUGGAACACGACAUUGUUCCUCGCAUGAUGCUAUCUCCUAAGAUAUCAAUUCAACAACAACUACCUAGUAUUCUCAAAUUCUUCCAACAGAAAGUCAAACCCAAUGAUCAUAAGCGUAAAAAACCGAGUGCGAGACAACCAAUGGAUGAAGAUCAGUCGAUAGGAGACGCUGAAUGCGUUGAGUUCUUUGAGAAUGUAAUAAUAAAUGCAUCAACGGUUGCAAGCCAUGUUGCAUUUGAGCUAAUGGAACCUACAAAUUCUCUAAUGGAGAAGCUAUCGGUUGACUUUGUAAAAGUCUCUCCGUAUAGACCAUCGGGUUUUUACGUUUUCUGCACUAGCCAUUCUCAACAGUUUCGGGUGGAAAACCCGAACGCUGUUCUACAGUUACUGUUUUAUUUC
rnacentral:lncRNA from 1 species